rnacentral:lncRNA from 1 species
GUUGUUUCAUGUUAUUACCCGAGGGGCGGUUCUUUAUUCAUGUUAUGCCCGAGCAGCUGAUUACGAGUGAUUGUGAGGUAGUCCAAAAGGUUGGUUCUGUUCAUAUUAUGCCCGAGGGGCGGUUUAUGAUACAUGUUUUGCCCGAGGGAUUGUUUAUGUUUCUACCCUUUUCUCACUAUUUUCAUCACUCGUUUGAAACUAUUGAAAGAUGUUUUAAAAGGAAAUAGUUUUAUUGAAACUGAGUUAUUUUACGAGAAAAUGGUUUCUGUACUGUUUUUGAGAAAUAUACAGUAUUUGUUGUAGUGCUAUGAUGGAAAAUUAUGUGUUUUCUUUCUGCUCAGCUUUCAUUUACUUUUAUUACUUUUUGAGUUGGCGUACUCACAUUACUCCCUGCACCAUGUGUGCAGAUCCAGCAGUUGCGGGUCACGAUAGUGAGCAUUUAUUGUCCAUUCAGCAGGAUUUCGGAGUCGACAAGGCAGCUGCAUGGCGUUCGCAGCCCUGUUCUUCUCCCUCCUAUCUUCCCUAGCUUUAGUUAGUAUGGUCUUCCAGUCUUGUUUAGACUUUAUUGAAUUGAGACAGAGAUGUAGUUUCUCAUGACUUGUGACACCCCGAUGUCGGGCUUGUAUGUUUGUUCUGCACUGGUUAUUUAGACAUAUACUAUAAGAUUUCUUGUUGAUUAAUGGCAUAAAAAUGAGUGUUAUAGAAAAAUGGUUAGAUUUAGGAAUUGUGUCGGCUGACCUGGUUCCACGAUAGGCGCUAUCAUGACCGGAUCAGUUUUAGGGUCGUCACACCGAGUCUAACCUCGACGAAGUAGUAACAAGGCUAUAACAAGGCACUCACUAUAAACCUGUACGAAUAUAAAUGAAAUAAUAGCAGGAAUAGAGAAAGUAAGAAUUUAACAUAAAAUCGGAACUGAAAAGCAUAACAGAGGGCCCUAAAAUAACACUUGUACUCAACUUCUGAAUUCAACACGGAUACAGUAACAACAAUUAAACAUAAUAAAAUAUAUCUUCUCUGUUGCAGCGUGCAACCCGAUCCACAAAUAUAUAUACAUGACAAAUCUUUUAUGUUGAGGCGCGCAAUAUAUAUAUAUAUAUUCAUUACAGUGUGCAAUCCGAUCCCACACAAUAAUAUCAAUAAUUAUUGCAGUGAGCAACUGGAUCCGACACAAUAAUAAUAUAAAUGGACAACCUUAACCAACUAUGACGUAUCUCAAAUAAAACACAAUAAGAUAAUUAAAGAACUAAACAAGGUUAUAAAACAAGUAAAAGCAGUUAAUAAAUAAAGACAUGGAUACAUGAAAACAAUUAGCAACUUAAGGCACGCAAUGGAUAAAAAGGCAUAAAUUUAACAAGUAAGGGCAAGUAACAAUUAGAGCAUUUAAUAAGUAAUAACAUGGAAUAAAUGAAAAUAAAAAAUGAUUGAAGACAAUAAAUAAAUAUCCCAGCCCCAGUGCUUCACCCGUAACUAUGCAUAUACACUCGUCACUUUGCAUAUACGCCUUCCCCACAUAUAAAUCAAGUAACAAUUAACCAGUCAAGUUCUAAUUCUCUCAAGUCAAGGUUAACUACGGCACUUACCUUUUCCUGCAACCAAAUCAAUGAUCAACCACGACUUUUUCUUAGAAUUAGCCUGCAAACCAAUCAAAUCUAGCCAAAUAUAGUUUAAAUAAUUCAAAAUAAGCUUUAGAAACUACCUACGAGUGAAAAAGAUUCAAUCUUUAAUGAAAUAAAAAAAAGUCAACAAAAGUUAACCCCGGGUCGGCUUGGUUAAAACUCGAGAUUCGGACCAAAGCCCGAUUACCCAUUCACCCCAAGCCCGUUAUGCAAUUUAUUUCAAAAUCCAACCUCAAUUUUAUAAAUUUUUUAAUUUCUACCAAAAACCCCUAAUUUCUACCAUGAAGUUCAUAGAUUAACGUUAAAAAUCAAUAGGUGAUUAUCGAAAUACAUCAAAAAUAGUUAAAAAUCACUAACCAAUGAAGUUGGGAUGAUAAUCUCCUUAAAAUCCUCUCUAGUCCGAGCUCUAGCUUUCAAAAAUGGCAUUGAAUGAAUAAAUUCCGACUUUCAGCUAUUAAAAUAACUAGGCGUCAGGUGUUCUUUGCGUUCACUAAGCACCCGCCAUGUUCGCGAAGUAUGGCCCAAUUUCCUUCGCGGUCGCAAAGUCUACAUCGCGUUUGCGAAGGCUUAUUAUCCAAUCUGCCUUCGUAUUCGUGUCCCCAAGGUCCGUGUUCACGAUGACGACCCCUACCAUCCCCCCAGGUCAUCCCCAAAGCUUCACGUUCGUGAGUGGCAAACCGUGUUCGCGAAGGGUAAUGCACCGUAUACUUCGCGUUCACGAAAAGUAACCACCCCUAGCCCAAAAUUUCCCCUUUGCGAUCAUGGUAGAGGCUUCACGAUCGCGAUAGAGGCUUCGCGAUCGCGAAGCACUGGACACCAGAAGCAAAAACCAGCAGUUCCAACAAGUUCAAAAAUAGUCCGAAAUAAAUCUAAAACUCACGCAAACCACUCGGCUCCAAACCGAACAUGCACACAAGUGUAAUAACAUCAUAUAAACUUGCUCGCUACCUCAAAUUAUCAAAAUAACAUCAAAUAAUGAGAAUUGAUCAUCAAAACUCAAGUUUUCAACUUGAAAACUCAUUUUUAAAAUCUUUCACAUAAUGUGCCAAAACGCGCUUGGGUCGUCCCGGACCCUAACCAAACGUGAGUACAACUCCAAAAAUAUCAUACAAACCUAUCAGAAUUUUCAAUACACCGAUCCAAGGUCGUUUACUAAGAAAGUUGACGUGGUCAACUCAAGUUAUUUUUAAAGCCAAAAUCACAUUUUCUUUUAAAUUAACGUAAAAGCUUUUCGAAAAAUGAUACAAACCAUGUACACAAGUCAUAUAACAUCUAAUGAAGCUAUGGGAGGUUUUGAAACACAAAAAUAAGGGUUAGUAUCCAAAACAACCUAUCGGAUCGUCACAUGCUCUUAAAAACCUAGGGGUCCAUUAGGUUUCUUGGUGGCUACUCUACCCGAAACCUUAACGUGGAGGCUACUCCAUCCAAAUCCCUACCUCACAUUUAUAAAAGGAGUCACAUAUUCACUUCGAAAGUAUCUCAAAAAUUUCAUAAACUCACGAAAUACUCACAAAAAGAUCAAGAAGAGGCACGAUACUUCUGACAAUCAAAUAGUUCAAGAAGAUCCACAACAUCCUUGCAUGGAGAUCAAAUACAUUUUACCUUCGAGAAAUAUGCUGCUCCAACCCUCGAGUCACAAAGAUAAUCAGGCCAGAAGAAUCAAGAGAACAAACAGAAUUGUAUCCAUAUUAUUUAUCAAUAAAAUUAUAUUUUUUCAUAUUUAUAUUAUGAUUGCAGUUUAUGAGUUGUCACACCUCCGUUUUCCCGAGGGGAUAAAGAAUUUUUUCAAUUAAAGUGACAUUAUCAAAAUGAGAUUAUUUAAUUAAUCAGAGUAGCCACUUGGAAUAAUUUAUGGUGUCUCAAUUCACCAGUUCAUUUAAAAUCCCAAAUCGAGGAAGUUUUGACCCUAUUUUUACAGUCUGCAAAAUACAAAAAAUCGGGUAAGGAACUUUGUUAACCUAGGAGAAGGUGUGAGACACACCCGAAUUUCGUGGUUUUAGCACGCUUGCUCAACUGUUAAUAAUUGACCUAAUUAUCUGAUUAAUUACGUGUUUAAAAUAUUUUAUGCAUUUUUUACUUUCUAACUUUUACUUAUUUUAAAUUUGUUUGAACAAGUCACGAUUGUCGCGCACUCGUUUGUUUUGUACAUAUCGCAAACCACGUCACAGGAACCGUACCCACGAUCUACAACAUGCUUAUUUUUAUUACUAUUCGAAGUUAUGGUCGGGUCACAUGAAAUACACACCCGAAUUUGGAUUUAUGUAUCGUAACUAUGCCACGAGAACCGUACCCACAGUCACGAGAAUUUAUUUAUGCGCCUAAAAAUUUUCUACCCAAGUUAAUGGCCUAAACAUGCUCGUAGCGAUUUGAAUAAAAAUAUAAAAUCAAUUAAAGAUAUCUAAAUCCAAAUUAUCCUUCACAUUUUAUGUCCAGACCCUCGACCUAAGGAACCAUGAUAAAACAAAAAAAUAAAUCAAGACGUUCGUAAGUUCAAGUCCCUACGGUCCAAUUCUCAUUAAUUCAUGAUGAUUCCCCAAUGAACCAAUACUUGUCUCAAAUAAUAAAUUAACGCCCACCUAAUUGAAUUUAAUUAUAGAAAAGGACAGAUGAUUUGUAUUAGUAGUUAAAAUGACAAUUAUUUACUAAUUGGAUGAAANNNNNNNNNNNNNNNNNNNNNNNNNUAUCUCCUUCUAGUGACUGAAUCUCAACAAGCAAUUAUCAAACAUUCAAGCUAAUCACAACAUAUGUCAAUUAGUUCAUAUAUCCUCAACAAUCAUAUAUUUGAUUAAAAAAAAUAUAAUAACAGAGAAGGGAUUAGAAUGGACUUUUAGUCGAGAUUUCUUCUCCGAUUAAAUGACAGAAUCUUAAAAAUCAUAUAGAUAUGCUCUAUUUGAAAAGUGCAAAAUAAGAAUAUCCAGCGACGGACUUUAGAUAAAAAAUGAACUGAAAUUCCCAAAAUUGAACCGCACCAGAACCUUUGACCGCACCACCUCGACAAUCUUUAUUUUAGAACCACAGACGGUAUCUCCAAUCUUGAGACGAAACUUAAUUGUUUCCUCUAGUUUUUCAAUUUUUAUCGAUUCCUUCCUAUGUGUGUGUCUCUUUUUUUUAGAAGUAUUUGAUUUGGGAAAUUGGGGGUGGCAGAGGUGUGUCCCUUUGGUGGGGUGCGGCUGCUACUUUUUUUUUUUUUUUUUUUUUAUCUUUUGGGAUUGUAGGAAUUAGGUUAGGUUUCUAUAAUUAAGGAUUUUAUAUGGAGGUGGCAAGGGAUGAUAACCAUUGGAUUAGAAGGAAAUAGAUAGCUAAAAUUAAAUCUUGCAUUUUAAGUGGAGAGUGGGCUAAUGGGUUGGGAAGAAUGGGCCGAAGACAUAGUUUGAUUAUCCUUUAGUUCUUUCGAGAGUGGAGAUAUUGGUGCCGGCGCUACAUUACGUACCACGAACACUUCCCUUGCCGCGUGUUGUUCUAAAUAGUUUUAUGUCAAAAUUUUUAUCAUUUGGUGGAGGGUGGAUGGUGCUGCUCUCAUGUAGUGUAUCCUUGGUCGCCUGGAUAAGGCGUUGUAUUUCAUGUCUUCUUCAAUGACAUGGAAUUUGACAUUUCGGGUCAUGCCAACCAUGCUGACUGGGAGAGUGAUCUCUCCUUUCGUUGUUUCGAUCGCCGUGUUGAAUCCGUUAAGGACUCAAGAGGCGGGCAUGAUUUAGUCUAGCAGUUCGAUCUGCUCUAUUACCCUUGACCUGGUAAUGUUGGCCGAGCUACCUGGAUCCACGAGCACAUGUUUUAUUCGAAAUGAAUUAACGAGGAAAGAGGUUAUCGGAGUGCCGUUAUGAGGUUGGGACGAGGUUUUGGAUUCCUCCUCGCUGAAUACGAGGGCAUCUUUGGGUACGUAUCCCCGAGUUUGCUUUUCUCUGGUGAUGGAUAUUUUUGUCCUUCUCAUCACGGGUUCCUGGGGAGUGCCGAACCCCCCCCCCCCCCCCCCAAAUAUCAUGUGUAUAACAUGUUGUGGCUCAUUUGCUUUGUUCUUCUUGGCCGUGCGUAUUAUGUAGUUCACAUACUAAGUUGUGAUUCCUCUGGGAAGGAUUCGAUUGUAUAGGCCUGGGCCACUUGGCAUCUCUGAUUUUACUGAUGGCGAACAUGAUAUCCAAUACAUCGAUGUUGAAGUUGUAUUCCGACAAGUGAGGUGCACCCAUUGGCCCUGCGUUCUUAUCAAAUCUGGCUCUGUUGAUGAGUCCUCGAGGAUCCUGUCCUCGAUCUAUUCUCUGAUCAUUGCGAGGUAGGUUGAGCCUCGGGGCAUUCCUCCUAUCUUUGGGGUACGACAAGACCUCUCUUUGUUCGGUUUCGACUCCUUUGCCAGGAGUCUGCUCAGAUAUACUGAGCCCGAGAGGUCUCCCAUCUGGUCAUCCUCGACCCUGAUCUUUGACUGAUAAUGAUUGUGGACGUCCGGCCAGGUUACGGAGGGAUACUCGAUCAGAUUCUCUUUCAGCUGCCUUGAGGCAACUGAGCUUCGUUCAUUCAGGCCUUGAGUGAAGGCCUGUACCGCUCAGUCGUCGGAGACCAGGGGUAGUUCCAUUCGUUCCAUUUGGAAGCGAGAUACGAAUUCUCGCAGCAUAUCAUUCUCCCUCUACUUAAUCUUGAAUACGUCGGACUUCCUUGUUGCUACUUUGAUGGCACCGACGUGUGCCUUUAUGAAGGAGUCUUCCAGCAUGGCAAAUAAGUCUAUGGAGUUGGGAGCUAGGUUGUGAUACCACAUCAUGGUCCCCUUCAAGAGCGUUUCUCCGAACUUCUUCAAUAAGACGGACUCGAUCUCAUCGUCUUUUAUGUUGUUGCCCUUUACUGCGCACGUAUAUGCAGUAACGGGUUCAUUGAGGUCUGAGAUACCGUUGUACUUUGGGAGUUCCGGCAUUCUGUACUUCUUUGGAAUGGGUUUCGAAUCCGCUUCCUCUAGGAACGGCCAUUGCACAAACUUCUUUGAAUCUACAUCUUUCAGGACCGGGGGUGCGCCCGAGAUUUGGUCGACCCAGAAGUUAUAGGUUUCGAUCUUCUUAUAGUUGGCUGCUAUCAUUUUCUCGCCCGACUUGAUCAUUUUGGCGAGGUCCUCGAGCAUUUUUACGAUGGUAGGAUCGGCUACCGAUCCGUUGUUGCUCGAGCUCUCCGGUACCUGUUUGGAGGGGGAGUAGCAUCCAGUGCUAUUGUGCUGGGAGUCUUCGGGUGGCUUUGCAGCUGAGCAAUAGCCAGCUAUUGUGCCUGCAACAUUUCAAAAAUAACAUGAAGGCUAACUUCCCAUUCUUCCCGAGCUGGGGUUUUUGGGCUUCCUGUUGGUCGCCUUGUUGUAUGCUUCUGUUGGUGUGUGAGGUUUUGUCGACUCGCUAUGCAUCUUGCGAACCCGCAUCCGCUAGAAUUGGUCCAGGUGCAUUGUUGAGGUUCUGUGGUGGCGCACCAACGAUUGGAACAACCAUACCAUUUUCUCCGUGGUUUUCAAGGUUGUUGUUCUCAACUCUGUUUACUGAGCCAGACAUUUUAACCUGAAAUCGAAGAUCUUCGACAAGAAAAUGUGUGAAAGAUUACUUGCGUUGUGUGACAAAACCAGCAAGAAAAUAAUUUCUAUUAAUUUUAGCCCCACUGUGGGCGCCAAACUAUUUAUCGAGAAAAUGGUAAUAACAAUUAAAUUUAUUGAUAGGACUCUAAAAAUACGUGAUCUAUUUUUAUGCUAGUUGUUAAGCAGUUGAUGCUAGGUAUGUGAAGUUUAAAGAUGAGAUACGAGCUAAAGUAGAGUUAUAACCAAUCCGAGGGGUUAGCUAUUCGGGCCUCGGACUGACCGGUGAGGGGCCUCGAGGUCGAUGCCUAGGCUCGGGCUCGAGCUAUCGGGGAUAAUCGGGAAAGGGCUAACAGGUACGAUAUAAUUAAGGGAGGCUCUUCAUGCCCAACAACAAGCAAUAAAUGAAGAACAAGUAUGAAGUCCAGAAAUAAGAGCAAGAAUAUCGAAGGAAUAUAUUAGAGAGAAAAGAGAGAAAGAGUUGUUAUUUAUCUUGUGCAGAAUAGUUGGAGCAACAGCAUCCCCUUACAAAAUGGUAAGGAUCCCCUUUAUAUAGGAGGAGAAUCCCAUCAUAGUACAAAAUACAUUAAUUUCAAAGGUAUGGAGAUGGGAUAGCUAGACGUGACACCUUGAGACAAGUUCCGGGCAGGCCGACUUUGUUAGACUUAGUCGCGUGCCUUGGGAAUUCCCCAUUUUUAUUCUAACCUCAAUCGACAUUCCCUUUAGGUUGGGCCUCGAUGAGCUCCGAGGGAGGGAACUCGGUCACAGCUUCGCGUCCUCGAGGUCUCGAGGUAUUCUUCCGAAAUGAACUAAUAGCAAGAAAUUGGGCCCCCUUAUUUCGCCACAUACAAAACUAAUUAUCAAGAGCAAAUGGAGCAAGCAAAUAGUAAGACAUCAUCAAAACGUAGCAAUGAAGCAUUAACAUUUAACAAAACAGAGCAACAACAAACUAAUAAAAUAACAAAAGCAUGAUAUCAAGAAAAAAACAACAGAAGGAAAGAAGAAAUUGACCUCAAAACGCCAGACGAAACUCGAACCGGAAACCAAUAGACAGUACCUCGACGUACGACUAAAAAGAGCCCCUAGACAACGAUCACCGACGACCUCGAAGCUCUCCGAGAAACUCAAACUAAACCUGGACGAAACUGAACUCCGGCUGGGUUUGAUGUUGUUUUUCGCUAUUUUUUUUAGAUGAGUUUUGGAUUGAAACAGUAGUAUGUUGGAGAUUGUUUGGCUAGAAUUUUGGUAUGAAGGAAUGGGCUAUUUAAGGGUGCUAAAAGGACAGUGUUACAACUAUGUUUCCAUAGCUUUUCAGAGCUAAAAUACUUACUGUUUUUGCCAUUCCUCCUCUUACUUCUCUUUGUGCGUGUGUCUUUAGGUCAGUGGCUGUUUGUGAUGAAAUCACGGUAGAGAGGAAGCAAUUUUAUGAUGUGAAUUACUCCCUGCUACGGCGCUGCUCAAUGAACUCCUAUCCCUUAUGUUUUUCCCCUUUUUCUUGCUCUCGUUUUUUUCCUUAAUUUCUAGCCCUCCCAUUUUUUAAUCUUGGAGAAGAUGAACUGAUUAGUUCUCUAUUAAUCUUAUUCUUUUAUUUCUCUAAUUUGAUAGCUUGGAACUGAAGCAGAAGGGACAAUGGGUUGCAGUGAUCUUUUUGUGGGGGGUCCUUGUUGCUAGGUCUCUUUAUCCUUUUCUUC